rnacentral:lncRNA from 1 species
CGCGGAGUCCAAGAGUAGAGGCAACAAAAGAGGAGAGAGGAGAAGGAGGGGAGGGGGACGGGCCCUCGCCCUCGCGCCGAGAGCGCCCCCCCGAGGCGGACGCGGAGCCCCUCCGGGGCGGCCCUGCCUCCGGGCCCCCUCCGGCCCGCCGCUCAGACAGGUAGUUGGAGAGAAAGAACAAAGCGCCCUGCGAGGGCGGGCGGCGGUCCCGGGGCGCCGCCCUCCGCCGCCCUCGCGCCUCCGCGGCCUCGGGGCAGCGGCUCUUCCGAAGGGACGCGCGGGCCGGCGGCGGAGGCAGCGGGGGGAGCGGCGGGCGGGGCGGGGCGGGGGCGCCCGGCGGCGGCGGCGGCUGGGUACCGACUGCCAUCCUGCGGCAAUUUCCCUGUGUCAUGGCUCCGGUCUCUUAGCAACGGCCGCGAGUCCGGCCGCCCCGAGCGCGCGAGCCGCCGCCGCCGCGGGGGCUCCACUCCACCCGGCGGAGCCCGGCGCGCCGCAGCCACACAAAGGCGGCGCUGCGGCCGGCGGGGCGCGCGCGCGGGGGCUCGCCGCGGGCGCCGGAGGAGCGGCGGCGGGGAGGAGGCUCCGAAGGGGAUGCAGGAUGCGGAGGACCUGACACUUCUUGGAAACUCUCGGAAAUGGCUCCCGCCACAGCACCAGAGGGGGCUGCGAACCCGGGGCGGGCGCUCGCCCCCGCGGGGCUGCUGAGCCGCGCUCGGACGGAGGGCCGCGAGGCGCUGUCCCUGCGCUCCGCCGUCGGCUCGGGCUGAAAAAGUUUCUCCAUGGUUCCUUUGUGUCGCCCGAGCGCCCGUUCGCCGGCCCCGAGCUGCCCCAGUCUUCCUGGGUUCCAAUUAAAAUCUGGCAGCAGUUCCUCAGACCUGUGAAGGCAAUGCUGUGAGCAUGUUAGCGUCAUGGGUAGCUCAUGCAAUCUGUCUCCAGCUCCCGCAAAUCAGCUUCUUUUUCAAUGAAAAAUAAAUGUUUUGGAGCCCUUUAUUUAUCAGGUAAGCAGUGAAAGGGCUUAGCCGUGGGACAGGAUAUCUUGGCAGAG